GAUGAAGAACGUAGCGAAAUGCGAUAAGUAAUGUGAAUUGCAGAAUUCAGUGAAUCAUCGAAUCUUUGAACGCACAUUGCGCCCCCUGGUAUUCCGGGGGGCAUGCCUGUUCGAGCGUCAUUUCACCACUCAAGCCUCGCUUGGUAUUGGGCAACGCGGUCCGCCGCGUGCCUCAAAUCGACCGGCUGGGUCUUCUGUCCCCUAAGCGUUGUGGAAACUAUUCGCUAAAGGGUGUUCGGGAGGCUACGCCGUAAAACAACCCCAUUUCUAAGGUUGACCUCGGAUCAGGCAGGGAUACCCGCUGAACUUAAGCAUAUCAAUAAGCGGAGGA
rnacentral:misc_RNA from 1 species